GACGAACGCUGGCGGCGUGCCUAAUACAUGCAAGUCGAGCGAAUGGAUUAAGAGCUUGCUCUUAUGAAGUUAGCGGCGGACGGGUGAGUAACACGUGGGUAACCUGCCCAUAAGACUGGGAUAACUCCGGGAAACCGGGGCUAAUACCGGAUAACAUUUUGAACCGCAUGGUUCGAAAUUGAAAGGCGGCUUCGGCUGUCACUUAUGGAUGGACCCGCGUCGCAUUAGCUAGUUGGUGAGGUAACGGCCCACCAAGGCAACGAUGCGUAGCCGACCUGAGAGUGUGAUCGGCCACACUGGGACAGAGGCACGGCCCAGACUCCUACGGGAGGCAGCAGUAGGGAAUCUUGCGCAAUGGACGAAAGUCUGACGGAGCAACGCCGCGUGAGGGAUGAAGGCUUUCGGGUCGUAAAACUCUGUUGUUAGGGAAGAACAAGUGCUAGUUGAAUAAGCUGGCACCUUGACGGUACCUAACCAGAAAGCCACGGCUAACUACGUGCCAGCCGCCGCAGUAA
rnacentral:rRNA from 1 species